GCUGGCGGCAUGCUUAACACAUGCAAGUCGAACGAAGACCCGGAGCUUGCUCCGGAUUUCUUAGUGGCGAACGGGUGAGUAACGCGUGGGAAUCUACCUAGAAAUGGGGAAUAACUAUUGGAAACGAUAGCUAAUACCGCAUAAUCCCUUUGGGGGAAAGGCUUCGGCCGUUUUUAGAUGAGCCCGCGUUAGAUUAGGCUGUUGGUGAGGUAAUGGCUCACCAAACCUACAAUCUAUAGCUGGUCUGAGAGGAUGAUCAGCCACACUGGGACUGAGACACGGCCCAGACUCCUACGGGAGGCAGCAGUGGGGAAUAUUGGACAAUGGGGGAAACCCUGAUCCAGCAAUGCCGCGUGAGUGAUGAAGGCCUUAGGGUUGUAAAGCUCUUUCAGAAGUGAAGAUGAUGACGGUAACUUCAGAAGAAGCUCCGGCUAACUCCGUGCCAGCAGCCGCGGUAAUACGGAGGGAGCUAGCGUUGUUCGGAAUUACUGGGCGUAAAGAGCGUGUAGGCUGUUAGGUAAGUCAGAGGUGAAAUCCCUAAGCUCAACUUAGGAACUGCCUUUGAUACUAUCUUACUAGAGAUCGAGAGAAGUUGGCGGAAUUCCAAGUGUAGAGGUGAAAUUCGUAGAUAUUUGGAAGAACACCAGUGGCGAAAGCGGCCAACUGGCUCGUUUCUGACGCUAAGACGCGAAAGCGUGGGUAGCAAACAGGAUUAGAUACCCUGGUAGUCCACGCCGUAAACGAUGAGUGCUAGCCGUUUGUGAUUUAUCACAAGUGGUGCAGCUAACGCGUUAAGCACUCCGCCUGGGGAGUACGAUCGCAAGAUAACAAUGAUAG
rnacentral:rRNA from 1 species